rnacentral:lncRNA from 1 species
AGCAAGGUGACGGGUUCACACACAUGACUGAAGAUUGUGGAAACACCAAAGACAUCUCCAGAGUCUGGGAUUUUGGAGUUUGGCUGAGGCACUGUCUGGGGAGGUGAAAUAAAUAAAACACGCUCCUGCAAGGUCUCCAAACAACCUUUACUUAAAAAUGUUUAGGUAAGUAUGAGAGGAUGAGUUGUUUCUCUUCCAAAAAUCAACAAUAUCUGCUGAAUAAAUUGUUUAAUCAAUGCCUUUAACA